rnacentral:tRNA from 1 species
CGGGAAGUGGCGCAGCUUGGUAGCGCACCUGCUUUGGGAGCAGGGGGUCGUGGGUUCAAAUCCCGCCUUCCCGACCA